UCAGGUAAUUUGGGUUUGUCAUGUCAAUCCUAGACCUGGCAUUUUUCAUCCGACUCGAUCCUACCCGUUAAAAUUAAUAUUCAGAUUGGUGAUAAACGGGUCGAGUGGUUAAUGGGUUAACGGGUUAACUCGUUAAUCACCCGUUAAAUAACAGGUCAUUUUGGAUGAACCCGUGAAACCCGUUAAGGUCCGUUAUUGAGGACUUUUGUGUAAUUUCAACAGUCCUAAUAGAAAACCCUCAGGGCUCAGGUUCCUCACGUCUCUCUCUCGCACUGUCGCACGGCUUUGCUCUUUGAGACUGAGAGAUCACUCAUCGGCCAUCGUUGUGCUCCUUCCCUUCCGGCUCCACCACUCUGGAAAUUUUCACUUAAGGUGAAUGUUGAAGGCAAAAAAGAAGCAGAGGAUGCAAUGCAAGAAGAAGGUUGGCAAAAAAGCAGCAGAGAAUGCAAUCAUGCAAUGCAAGAAGAAAUAGAGCCACUGUAGACUCUGCAGUGAGACAUUGAUUGAGACUCGAGAAAGAGAAUUACUAUGUUUUAUUUAAACAAUUUCCUGAUCUAUGUUAAGAUUUGGAGACGCAUGUAAUGGAUCUGUGUUUUAAUUUAAUCAGUUGUUAUCCAUUUUAA